GCCGGUAGAUUCUUGUCUUCCAUCGAAACCCAAACCCUUCCAUCGAGGUGAACCUGGCGGCGUCGGGUCGGUUCUCUGGCUAUGACGUCUUCGAUCUGCGGGCCGUGCACCAGGUCGCCCUAGCCGUGCCGCUUCCGGCCCAGAUGGAUUACGCCCGUGGUGACGAUGGAGGUAGCAGCGAGUUGAUUGCUGCUGCUGAUGCGCAGGUCUUGCAGCAGUACCACUAGCCGUGGCCAUGGGAUGGAAACACAAGUGCCGUCCUGCCCCAGGCAGGUAGUAAUCAGCUGAACACUGUUGUUCCAGGGAGACGUCUGCAUCUUUGAUUGUGUCACCUGAAAAGGUGACAAUUCUACUAAAUAGGUUCAGGUCGUGCUCUUGUUGCUUGAGGACCGGGAGAUGAACGCUGAAUUGAGUCCUUUUCCAUCAUCUUCUAUGCAGAACAUGAUGCACAUCCAAGCAAACCACAUCUCUGGUGAUCAACCAGCUAAGGGGAAACCACAUAAUUCAGUCUGGUGCACAGCUUAUGUUGCUUUGGCGGCUGCUUCCGCAAAGACACACUAUUGUUUUUUGGCUUUUACAUUCAAACUAUGUGUUCUUUCAGGAUGAAAUAUUGAUGCAUGUUACUCUGACCUGCAGGGAAUACUCUCAGGGACAGCCGAAAAUUUUCAUUCCAGCUACGCCAGAUGCCUAGUUGGAACCAAAUGAAGCAGAACAACACUGCUGAAGUUGGAAUUGCCAAAACCCAUAGUAUCACUGUCAAUGGUCACAAUUCAUCGUGAGAGACUGCCUACUGGAAUAGGGAUGAAGUGAUGCAUCAUCACUUGUGAACUCUGCCCAUUAUACUUUGCCAGGGAAGCUUCGAUGAACUGCUUUAUGACAUUUAGCCAGUGAGAGUACUCUCAAGAGCUUUUAGAGUGGGCUGGCAAACUUGCAGAGUCCAACCAAGUUAUUACAUUAAUUGCUUGUCAUGUUAUAGAGUUGCUGAAGUAGUUCAUAUAUAUAAUCAUGUUUAUUAUUAUUAUUAUCCAGUCACAGUUUAUUUGUCAUGGCAGCAAAGUUUGAUAAAUCAUACCAAUUGACUUUUUUUUUUGU